GGGCGAUUAGCUCAGCGGGAGAGCGCUGCAUUCACACUGCAGAGGUCGGCAGUUCGAUCCUGCCAUCGCCCA
rnacentral:tRNA from 1 species